GUCCUCAGCGCGACCCUGGAGCUGGGGGUAAGAUGGUGGCCGCCACCAGGGGCAGUGGAGGGUCCGGAGUGGGAAACCAGGCCUGUGAAGAACCACGGCUGUCAGAAAACGAAGCUGGAGGUUCACUUCUGCCAGAAAGUCAUUGAGCUUCAACACAGUUUGUCCCUGGUCGAGACUGGGGAAGCACAGAAAGUUCGAGGGGGCAGGGACAGAUGAGGAAACCGGGGCUUGGCCGAGUAUCUUUGUUAAUUGCUCUGCGGAUUUUAUUUGGGGGAGGAUAGGGGCAUUUGGGGUGGUUCGCUGGGUUAGUGAAGAGGAGAGAUUCCGAGGGAAUCGUUCAACCUCCUGCUCAGGUGUUUUUAAGUUUGGGGCGAGGCCGGUGAAGCCGAGGCGCGGGCGGCAAGGAGCGCUGGAGAGCGACGGGGCUCGGCCUCCGCGGCUGCCCAGGGGCCCGGGGCAUUCCGAGAAGAGAAAAAAAGGCAAGUGUCACGAGCUGAAUUACGAAAAGAACGGAGAAUGAUGUAACACCCACUGCUCUUCUGAGUGUUAUUUUUCAGGCAAACACCUUGGCUUCAUUUUUUUUUGUUUCUGGGUUUUUUUGGUUUGUUUUUGAGAUAAGGUUUCACCCUGGCACGCAGGCUGGAGUGCAGUGGUGCAAUCAUAACUUAUUGUAGCCUGGACCUCCCGGGCUCAAGUGAUCCUCCCGCCUCAGCCUCCUGAGUGGCCGGGACGACAGGCGAGCGCCACCACGCCCAGCUGAUUAUUUUUAUUUUGCAGAGAUGAGGUCUCACUAUGUUGCCCGGGUUGGUCUCAAACUCCUGGCCUCAAGCAGUCCUCCUGUUUUGGCCUCCCAAAGUGCUGGGAUUACAAAGGUGAGCCACUGCGCCCGGUCUGGCUUCGUUUUUGAAAUAAAAAUAAGGCAAAAACGACAUCAACAAUCAGGGCCAGAAUUUGCACCUAUUUGAAAGCUAGUUUAAGUUUGCAAGACCGAGAGCCUUUUCUCCAUUCCAGUCUCCCUGUUCUCAUCCACCCAUUAACAGUGAUCUCUGUGGCCUUCGGUGUGGGUUAUAUUGUCCUGCAGAUGGUAAUAUGUUGCAGAUACUUAUCUUCAAAUUACCACAUUUGCUUAUGUUUACCUCCUUUCAUUUGAUUGUAAGCUCUUCAAGAGCAGAAGUCUCUUUUUAUUAUUAUUAUUAUU
rnacentral:lncRNA from 1 species